AAUCAGAUUCGAAUCCAAUUCGAAUCAGGAGCUAAGGGUUUGCAACACCUGCUAGGAUGUUUAUCUUGCAAACAUGAUCUAAUCCAAUUAGACCCUUGAUAAGUUUCCUUAUGUGUGACCCAUUGGGUUCCAUACUUAGCCAGCAAUAGGUGUGAGUGCGAGUUGACCCAACUUGAUUAGAACUCUUCUAAUCGAUUUAAGUCCAAACUGCGCGAACCCGAACUUAACAAUUAGAAUCCUUUCUAAUUGGUGAUCGAAUUAAACUCUUUAAUUCGAUCAAACCUAUAAGACAAGAUUGACGUCUAGCAACGUGUCAUGUCUACCCGGAAAAUAUGAAAUUUGGUGGAA
rnacentral:lncRNA from 1 species